UCUGGACACAAACUGGGUGUAGGGAUUCUGAACUGAGCUGGGGUCUGCGCUUCCAGUGAAUGCUGUGGGAGCAACCGGAUGGCCCUGGCACCAAUAAGGGCACUGGCUGGGCAGCCUGGGUGAGCUGGAGCCUACCAGAAAGCUUAGAUCCUGUGGCCAAGGGCACAGACCUUGGCGAAGUGGAGCGUGGCAGGCAGCCUUAUGACAGCUACUGUCCGUGAGAACUCUUCAUACAGAUGAAGAAUAUCCAAUAGCUGGAAUGAUGCAGUUUUGGAGGAUCUAAAAAUGGUGAUGACUUCUACUCCAACUUAGAAAGGCAGUUCUGUGGUGGAUCAUGACCCCAAGCUUCCUUGAUGAGACCACUGCCCGGAUAAUCAGAGUGCUGGAAUUUCUCCUCUGGAAAACUGGACUUCCACAAUGGCUUUCUUGUCUAUGAACGUCUGCCCAAUUUAGAUGUGCCCAGACCACAGCCAUGGGGUUAUAGGGCUGAAUCAGAGCUCCUGUCAUUUCCACAGUCUGUACUGAAGUCCAUCUGCCAGUUGUCAGAUCCACAGGUGAGCAAGACUCCUCCCAGUUCCCUUGGUGUAUGGUGCUAUAUCUUACUACUCCCACAGCAGCACUGUUGUUCAUGAAUGAAUGUGAGAUGUUAUAGAAUGGAGGUACAAAAACAAGGAAGAUCUUAUUCCAUUAUGAUACUGAUAUCUUGAAAAGACAGUUCCCUCAAAAUAUAGGGCCAGGAAAAAUGGUUGUCUACAUGUGAAAAAAUGAAGUUGGAGCCUUAUCUAGCAAGAUGUAAAAAAAUUAACUCUAAAUGGAUCAAAGGCCUAAAAUCAUAAAAUUCCUAGGUGAAAACAUAGGGCAAAAGCUUCAUGACAUAGAAUUUGGUAAAGGUUUCUUGGAUAUGAAAAGAAAAACACAGGCAACAAAGAAAAAAGUAGACAAAUUGACUUCAUAAAAAUUUUAGAAAUGUGUGCAUUAAAAUAAUAACAGAGUAAAAAGGCAACUCACAGAAUGGGAGGAAACACUUGAAAUCAUAUAUAACAGAUUAAUAUCCAGAAUGUAUAGAAAAC